rnacentral:lncRNA from 1 species
CAAAGUGUUGGAAUUACAGGCGUGAACCACCAUGCCUGGCCAGCUCUAUUUCUUUAAGCCUACAUGUUUUGCACUUGUUAAAAGUAUUUGAAUAUACAAUUACUCAGUUUCCCUUGUUUAUGCUUGAAUUUUGUAUAAUCUUAAAUAUUUUUUCCAAUCUAAGCUUUAUUUUAUCCCGUUUCUUCUAUAUUUGUAUAACUUUAGGUGGCUAUCUUCAUUGAAAAUUUUUUCUCAAAAGCCUUAAAAUAGAACAUAGUUCUUGGCAGCAAUUUAAAGUUAUUUGAGGAGAAGGGGAGACUUACAAUGAUGCUUCAAUUGAAGCAAACUAAAAAGUAAUGAAGCAAGACAGAGGAAAAAGCAGUAUUCACUUGAGCACAUCCCAAAAGAAUAACAUUUCAAAUGUAACUAGAAAAAAGAUUGCUGAAGUUUGCAAUACAGAAAUAAUUAUUAAGAUAGCUUUAAAGCCCUGCUCAGCUUUUGAAUGUUGGGAAUUGACCCAGAGGUGGCUGUAAACUAAGAUGGUUCCUUCAGUAAUGACCAUUUUUUCUUUUUCAAGAUGAUGAUUAUUCCCCACCUUCUAGGACACAAAGACCAACGAGCCACCACAGCCACCAGUCCCAGAACCCGCUAAUGCUGGGGAACGGAAAAUGAGGGAGUUCAACUCUGGCCCUCACAAUCCAGUGGAGGAGACGAAACUCAUCUGCCUCUGUCCCUCUGGGCACGCCUCAUGCCAGGUGCAUCUGUGGACAGGGGCCAUGCUCCUGGGCUUCCAAAGUUGGAGAAAGCUGCCAGGCUCAGAGCCACCUAAGCUGAAGAUUCCCUUGAGAACAAGUACUGUCCUGCGGUUUCAUGGCCUUUCUUCCAUUUGUGGUUCUUGCGAAGUGGAAUUUAAAUGACAUCUUAUCAAGAUCGAUAAAUACUAGUUUCCCAGUGCUGGAAUAUAGAAAAUGGAUGGACAAGUAAAUCCCACUCAGCACCCAUAGUCCAGGCAUGGGGACCUCAACACACCUGAGCCCCAAACAUCACCUUUCAUUCUGGACCUACCAUGAAAGACUUCUGAAUCCAGGAAGAGAAACUGACUGGGCAACAUGUUAUUCAGAAACAGGACCUUGCCCUGUCACUCAGGAUGGAGUUCAAUGGUCCUAUCAUGGCUCAUUAUAGCCUUAAACUCCCAGGCUCAAGCAAUCCUACCAUGUCAGCCUUCCCAGUAGCUGGGACUACAGGAAGUGACCUCACAAUGACUCAAGCUACCACAUACUGUUGAUUGUGAAAUGCCAGUUGAAGCAUAUGUCCUGCGAGCUUAGGGGUGCUACAAGUUGACCACUGCAGCAGUAAAGAUGACUCUGAAGAAUGGCAUGGGAUGGAUCCUUUCGAAUGCACUUGAGCAGCGGUCUCCAACCACAGGGCCACAGAGCUGGAGGUGAGCAGCAGCUGGAUCUACCAUGAAAGACUUCUGAAUCCAGGAAGAGAGACUGACUGGGCAACAUGUUAUUCAGGGUCUCCCUCUGUUGUCCAAGGCUGGAGUGUAGUAGUGCUA